GCGGGAAUAGCUCAAUUGGUAGAGCAUCAGCCUUCCAAGCUGAGGGCCGCGAGUUCGAGCCUCGUUUCCCGCUCCA
rnacentral:tRNA from 1 species